UACGUAGGUGGCGAGCGUUGUCCGGAUUUACUGGGCGUAAAGGAUGCGUAGGCGGAUAUUUAAGUGAGAUGUGAAAUACCCGAGCUUAACUUGGGUGCUGCAUUUCAAACUGGAUAUCUAGAGUGUGGGAGAGGAGAAUGGAAUUCCUAGUGUAGCGGUGAAAUGCGUAGAGAUUAGGAAGAACACCAGUGGCGAAGGCGAUUCUCUGGACCAUAACUGACGCUGAGGCAUGAAAGCGUGGGUAGCAAACAGGA
rnacentral:rRNA from 1 species